rnacentral:tRNA from 1 species
GGCACAGUGGCUCAGUGGUUAGCACUGUUACCUCACAGCAAGAAAGUCCCUGGUUUGAGUCCAGGCUGGGCCA